rnacentral:rRNA from 1 species
AACGAACGCUGGCGGCAUGCCUAACACAUGCAAGUCGAACGAGACCUUCGGGUCUAGUGGCGCACGGGUGCGUAACGCGUGGGAAUCUGCCCUUGGGUUCGGAAUAACAGUUGGAAACGACUGCUAAUACCGGAUGAUGACGUAAGUCCAAAGAUUUAUCGCCCAAGGAUGAGCCCGCGUAGGAUUAGCUAGUUGGUGAGGUAAAGGCUCACCAAGGCGACGAUCCUUAGCUGGUCUGAGAGGAUGAUCAGCCACACUGGGACUGAGACACGGCCCAGACUCCUACGGGAGGCAGCAGUGGGGAAUAUUGGACGAUGGGCGAAAGCCUGAUCCAGCAAUGCCGCGUGAGUGAUGAAGGCCUUAGGGUUGUAAAGCUCUUUUACCCGGGAUGAUAAUGACAGUACCGGGAGAAUAAGCACCGGCUAACUCCGUG